UACGGAGGGUGCGAGCGUUAUCCGGAAUUACUGGGCGUAAAGGGUGCGUGGGCGGUUCGUUAAGUCUGUCGUGAAAUCCCCGGGCUCAACCUGGGAAUGGCGAUGGAUACUGGCGAGCUAGAGUGUGUCAGAGGAUGGUGGAAUUCCCGGUGUAGCGGUGAAAUGCGUAGAGAUCGGGAGGAACAUCAGUGGCGAAGGCGGCCAUCUGGGACAACACUGACGCUGAAGCACGAAAGCGUGGGGAGCAAACAGG
rnacentral:rRNA from 1 species